GAUGAACGCUGGCGGCGUGCCUAAUACAUGCAAGUCGAGCGAACGGACGAGAAGCUUGCUUCUCUGAUGUUAGCGGCGGACGGGUGAGUAACACGUGGAUAACCUACCUAUAAGACUGGGAUAACUUCGGGAAACCGUAGCUAAUACCGGAUAAUAUUUUGAACCGCAUGGUUCAAAAGUGAAAGACGGUCUUGCUGUCACUUAUAGAUGGAUCCGCGCUGCAUUAGCUAGUUGGUAAGGUAACGGCUUACCAAGGCAACGAUGCAUAGCCGACCUGAGAGGGUGAUCGGCCACACUGGAAGUGAGACACGGUCCAGACUCCGACGGGAGGCAGCAGUAGGGAAUCUUCCGCAAUGGGCGAAAGCCUGACGGAGCAACGCCGCGUGAGUGAUGAAGCUCUUCGGAUCGUAAAACUCUGUUAUUAGGGAAGAACAAAUGUGUAAGUAACUGUGCACAUCUUGACGGUACCUAAUCAGAAAGCCACGGCUAACUACGUG
rnacentral:rRNA from 1 species